rnacentral:rRNA from 1 species
AAUAAUUAAUUUACUUUAUUAUUUAUUUUUGUCUUUAAUAGGAAUAACUUCUUUUUUAGUAAGUUUUGCUGAAUUAAUCUUUUUUGUGGUAGUGAAUAUGUACUGUAGGGGAUAUUUGGUUAAUUAAUUAUAAGGAGUCUUAAUUUGUUGUACCUUUUGUAUCAGGGAUGGUUAAUUACUUUUAUUUAUUUAAUUUUCCCGAAAUUGGGGGAGAUACAGUUAUAUGUUAGUUAAUGUUUCAUAAUUAUUAAUAAUAUAAUUGUAGUAAUGAUAAGUUAUUCGUUCUCAAAUAUCUGGUUCCUUAAGAUUUGAAUUUAAUUCAGAAUUAUUAUUUAAUUUUUCUAUUUUAAUGGGAUAAUUUUUAAUAAUUUAAGAUUCUUGGGGAUAAGCUCAGGAGUUUUAUUAUAAUUUUAUUUUUAUUAAUAGUUUUGGUAGGUUUGGAAUCAACCAUCAUUAAUUUCGUUAUAGAUUAUUCUUUUAUUAUUUAAUUUUAUAUUUAUUUAAUUUUAUAUUAAGGUUUUUCAUUUAAUUUAUUGUUGUUUGUAAUAAUGAUUGUAUUAGUAUGUUUGUAUUCAAGGUACAGGAACUCGGCAAAUUUUGUGCCCGCCUGUUUAACAAAAACAUGUCCUCUUGUUCAUUUAUUUGAGGUUUGACCUGCCCAAUGAGUUUUUAAUGGCCGCGGUAUUCUGACCGUGCUAAGGUAGCAUAAUCAUUUGUCUUUUAAUUAAGGGCUUGUAUGAAGGGUUGGACGAGGCAUAUUCUUUCUUUAGCUUGAUUUAUAGAAUUUAUCUUCUUUGUUAAAAGACUAGGAUUUAUCUGUGGGACGAGAAGACCCUAUAGAUCUUUAUAAUAAUUAUAUUUCAGGUUUUUUGGAUAUUUCUUAUUUGGUUUAUAUUAUUAUUUAAUUGGGGUGAUUGCAGAAAACUAUUAACUUCUGUUUUUUUAUUUCGUUUGUGGGCGUUUAAAUGAUCCAUUAUUAAUGAUUAUAAGAUUAAGUUACCUUAGGGAUAACAGCGUAAUCUUUCCGGAGAGUUCUUAUCGAUGGAGGGGUUUGCGACCUCGAUGUUGGAUUAAAAUAAGUAUUAGGUGUAGCGAUUUAACUACUGGGUCUGUUCGACCUUUAAUUUUUUACAUGAUCUGAGUUCAGACCGGUGUGAGCCAGGUCAGUUUCUAUCUUCAGUUUUAUAAACUAUGUUUUAGUACGAAAGGACCGAGCAUGGGGAAUAAUUUUUGUUUAUUUGAUUAUUAUU